UUUAAUUUUGUUAAAAUGUUUAAAUUUUAUUGCAUCUGCUCAGUUGGUUGUCAGUGCUGAAUACCUGUGGGGUGCUAAGAAAAGGAGGGUUUUUCCCUGGUCCCACUUUGACUACUGCUGUUCUAGGUGUGGCUCUUCUACCAGAUGUUUAAAGUACCCAUUGCUUUUCUCAUGGCUGCCUUCAUUAGCUUAUUUUCUGAAGACUGUUAUCCACCAUCUACAAUCUCCCAAGAAUAUUUUAAGGCUUAUUUUCAUUUUCUGUGUUUGAAUGUUUUGCCUACGUGUAUGUAUGUGCACUAUGUUUCUGAAGGGGCACCAGGUACCUGGAACUGGAUUUAUAUAUGAUAAUGACCCACCAUGUGAGUGCUGCGAACCAAACCCAGGUCCUCUGUAAGAGCAGUGCAUGCUUUUAACACCUAGCCAUUUCUCCAUCUCCCCAAGGAUAUUUUUAAUAAUUGCAUAGUAGUCUAUUUUGUAGUUACAUAGAAUUUAUUACCUCCUUGAAUAUUUCGAAUGCUUUUGAAAUUGAAUAGUUUUGAACUUUUUUUUUUUUUUGGUGCUAUGGAAUUAAUACUACAAUGGCCAUUCUCAUAUAAGACCUUGUUCUGUGUUGUUCAUUGUUCCAUGUAUUGUUAUGAACCUAGAAGAGGAUUGUUGAGUCAACAAUUAUAAUAUGCUUACAGAAUAUAAUGUAAGUUUGCUUCUUUACAGAGAAAUUUUUCUUGAAUUUGAUUUUCUUCUGACCUGUCAAGAACACUGUUAUUCAGGAGAUUCUAAAUGAUAAUUAUAUUUGAAGUUUAAAUCAAGUUAUAAUUUAAUUUGAUGAUAGACCUUUUGUAGUCAAGUAUUUGAACAGAUUGUGGCAAAACAGUUUUAGACCUUUUUGUAAAAUAUAGGUGUGCUUGGGUGUCAGCCUGAGAGUUGAAGCUGUUUGACAAGCUCACAAGUCUUGUUCGGUAUUCUUUGCUCCAGUGCCCCCUAGUGAUGGUUUCUACAAUCAGCUUUCACUGUCUUUGCUGAACAAGAAACAUCAUUCUUAUGUUAGCUCUUUGAACCUGUACAAAAGCGCUAGAAAGCUUCUAAAUAAGAGUUGGAACUUAAAGAGUUGCCUUUUUCAUCCUGAGGAUAAAGAAUUUCCAUUUUUUUUCCACUUGAGUGGUCUGUGGGGUUUUUUUUUUCUUUCUUUCUCUUUCAUCCUUCCUUUAUCUAUCUAUUUAAUUAUUUAUUUAUUUAUGGAUACUUUUUUGGUUUUGGUUUUGGUUUUUGGUUUUUCAAGACAGGGUUUCUCUGUGUAGCUCUGGCUGUCCUGGAACUCACUCUGUAGACCAGGCUGACCUUGAACUCAGAAAUCUGCCUGCCUCUGCCUCUGCCUCCGGAGUGCUGGGAUUAAAGGCGUGCGCCACCACCGCCCGGCUUAUGGAUGCCUUUUUAAACUAUUUUUAUUUAUUUAUUUUGAAGUAGGUUCUGUGUGGCUGCAGACACCCUAGAAUUCAUUAUGCAUGCCAGGCUGGCCUUAAACACACAAAGAUCUGGCUGUUUCUGCCUUCCAAACGUACUAUGAUAUGACACCGUCAUGUUCUGUUUUCUAUAGUCUUACAAAUAUGCUAUCCUACCUCACCCUGCCUGUUUCUCUAGAUAACUUUGUAGUCCAAUCUUUACUACUGGACUCUGGCCCUAAUCCCAAUUCUUUAAGUCAAAGCCAACAUUACUUAUAUUACUAUAAAUUGAAUUAUUAACGAGGUACUUGAUUUAAAAUGUGUUUUUUCUUUACAUUUAUGACUAUAGUAUCUCCUCUUCAUCUUCCACCUUAAUAUUUAAACAGACCAAAGAAAAGAGGGGUAGGGCAAAGUCUGCUAGAGUGGCCAUGUCUUUUCAACCUUGUACUUCUUUCCACAAAUUACAUCCCUCGGAAUAAGUUAAAUGUUUUGUUUUUUUUUUUUUUAAGAAGGCAGGCUCUUUAUUUUCUUGUUGUUGUUGUUCCCCCUGUUCCUUCUUUGUAGCUAUGAAGAAGAAAUAGCUUACUUGAAUUCUUGCACAGAAUUCCUAUAGUAACAAGAAUAACUAGCAUCUCUCCACCUUCAGUUACUCUGACGCAAGAGAAAUGGGGCAAGGAUUAAGAGAUAAAAAACUAUCCCUAAAGGAACAAAGUUUCACUAUAAACAAUUUAUUUUACUUUUAGAAUCUUUAUUUCAAUCUUUUUGCUUUUGAAAAUUCUGACUUUAUAAUCUAUCCUAUUAGUUGAAAGUUUACCUUUGGUCAUUCCUUGACUACCAGAGUUUAAUAUUCAUGUUCUUUCCAUGUCCAGUCACAAAUAAUUAUAUGAUUAGUCUAGAAAAGAGAGGCAAGAAAGAUCCAAGUCUUAUAUCCAUUGAUACUUUGCUUCAAUUCCAGCACUUAGCCUUCAGAAAAGCUAAGUUCAAGGCCAACCUAGGCUAUAUAGCAGUGAAACCCUUUCCC
rnacentral:lncRNA from 1 species